GUCGUUUCCAUCGACAUCUUUCCAAUUAUUACAUUUUGUAACAGCUAAAGUUAUUUUGAAUGUCUUUGGGAGUUAUCCAGAAAUAUUAGAUAACUUACAUUUCCUAUGGUGUGCCUGCAUUUAUAUAGUUUUAGCUCUGUCAAACUCUCAUUGGUAUCAUAUCUGAUAACACUUUUGACCACUCAAAUGAAUCGACCGGAUCCACCGCUAUUUCAUUUGCUCCUACAACCCCGAAAAACCCUAAGAUAACGAAAUCCAUUGCAGGGCAAAAUCAAACCGGAGUUGGAUCGGAGAAGUGUAUGAAGAAGUGCGUCUCGGCCUUAAUAUUUGAUCAAACAGCUAGGCAAAUAAAUGACUUGGAUCGGUGACGUUUCAUUACUUGCCUAGCUGUCAAUAUGGCGUUGGCAAACGACAAAUGUGUUGGUGUUUUCCAAAGUUCAUUGUAAAAUAAUACAAUUUAGGAGUAUAGUGGCAGUAAUAAUGUGAAUUUAGCUUUGAGUGACUCGAGAAAUUUAAUUUCUAAAGCAAAUUUCCAUCGAAAACUUGUUGAAUAUGACGAACAGCAUCAAGAUGAGUUUGUUUUGUAUUUUCUUAGGUGGCCAUGAGUUCUGGACAACGAAGGACGGCUGUAUAUUCCGAAGGCGAGUUUAAGUGGCUUUUAAACUACCAAGAUAACGCAACCAAAGUUUUGAAUCUACGUCCGUUUAAAACAAAAAAAGCUGUUGAGGUAGCUUGAGAGCUGAUGAAGUUUUUUUUUGAUAUUUGGAAUUUACUGAAAUUUAAUGAUAUGAAUUAGUUGCAAUGUAUACUGAGUGCAAAAAUGUUCAUGAUUUCCAAAAAACAUUUUAAAUGUAUUAAAUGAACAAUUUCUUA